rnacentral:rRNA from 1 species
CAAGAGCGUAUAUUAAAGUUGUUGCAGUUAAAAGCUCGUAGUUGGAUUUCUGGUACAACGCGCCUGGCCCGCUUACGUGAGUGCCGGUGCGCGUUUGCCAUCCUUCUAGAAAACGUCUCUACUCGGGCAACUGAGCCGGAUUCGCGAUCUAGAUCUUUUACUUUGAAAAAUUAGAGUGUUUAAAGCAGGCUAUUGCCUUGAAUACAUUAGCAUGGAAUAAUAAUCUAGGACUUCGGUUCUAUUUUGUUUGGUUUUCUAGUACUGAAGUAAUAGAUUGUAUAGGGAGUAGUUGGGGGCGAUUAGUAUUUAAUUGUCAGAGGUGAAAUUACUCAGAUUAACUAAAGACUAACUUAUGCGAAAGCAUUUGUCCAAGGAAUGUUUUCUAUUAAUUCAAGAACGAAAGUUAAGGGGAGUCAAAGAAUGAUCAGAUACCAU